rnacentral:snoRNA from 1 species
GCCCAGCUACAGAGUCUCAGGAAACUGUUCUGAUCCUCCACUGUGGACUCAGUGCAGGGGGACAGAGAACCCGGGGGC